AGUGAACGCUGGCGGUAGGCCUAACACAUGCAAGUCGAACGGCAGCACAGGAGAGCUUGCUCUCUGGGUGGCGAGUGGCGGACGGGUGAGGAAUACAUCGGAAUCUACUCUGUCGUGGGGGAUAACGUAGGGAAACUUACGCUAAUACCGCAUACGACCUACGGGUGAAAGCAGGGGACCUUCGGGCCUUGCGCGAUUGGAUGAGCCGAUGUCGGAUUAGCUAGUUGGCGGGGUAAAGGCCCACCAAGGCGACGAUCCGUAGCUGGUCUGAGAGGAUGAUCAGCCACACUGGAACUGAGACACGGUCCAGACUCCUACGGGAGGCAGCAGUGGGGAAUAUUGGACAAUGGGCGCAAGCCUGAUCCAGCCAUACCGCGUGGGUGAAGAAGGCCUUCGGGUUGUAAAGCCCUUUUGUUGGGGAAGAAAUCCAGCUGGCUAAUACCCGGUUGGGAUGACGGUACCCAAAGAAUAAGCACCGGCUAACUUCGUGCCAGCAGCCGCAGUAA
rnacentral:rRNA from 1 species